GCCUGGAUAGCUCAGUCGGUUGGAGCGUGGCACUGAUAAUUGCCAAGGCUGCAGGCUCAAUCCUUGAGUGGGACA